rnacentral:rRNA from 1 species
GUUAAGCGACUAAGCGUACACGGUGGAUGCCCUGGCAGUCAGAGGCGAUGAAGGACGUGCUAAUCUGCGAUAAGCGUCGGUAAGGUGAUAUGAACCGUUAUAACCGGCGAUUUCCGAAUGGGGAAACCCAGUGUGUUUCGACACACUAUCAUUAACUGAAUCCAUAGGUUAAUGAGGCGAACCGGGGGAACUGAAACAUCUAAGUACCCCGAGGAAAAGAAAUCAACCGAGAUUCCCCCAGUAGCGGCGAGCGAACGGGGAGCAGCCCAGAGCCUGAAUCAGUGUGUGUGUUAGUGGAAGCGUCUGGAAAGGCGCGCGAUACAGGGUGACAGCCCCGUACACAAAAAUGCACAUGCUGUGAGCUCGAUGAGUAGGGCGGGACACGUGGUAUCCUGUCUGAAUAUGGGGGGACCAUCCUCCAAGGCUAAAUACUCCUGACUGACCGAUAGUGAACCAGUACCGUGAGGGAAAGGCGAAAAGAACCCCGGCGAGGGGAGUGAAAAAGAACCUGAAACCGUGUACGUACAAGCAGUGGGAGC